rnacentral:rRNA from 1 species
UACGUAGGGGGCAAGCGUUGUCCGGAUUUAUUGGGCGUAAAGAGCGUGUAGGCGGCCAGGUAGGUGGGUUGUGAAAACUGGAGGCUCAACCUUCAGACGUCGACCCAAACCCCCUGGCUAGAGUCCGGAAGAGGAGGGUGGGAAUUCCUGGGUGUAGCGGUGAAAUGCGCAGAUAUCAGGAAGAACACCUGUGGCGAAGGCGGCUCUCUGGGACGGUACGUGACGGCUGAGGCACGGAAAGGUCAGGGGAGCAAACGGG